rnacentral:rRNA from 1 species
UAACCUGCCCAAGAGGCUGGGAUAACACCUGGAAACAGAUGCUAAUACCGGAUAACAACACUAGACGCAUGUCUAGAGUUUAAAAGAUGGUUCUGCUAUCACUCUUGGAUGGACCUGCGGUGCAUUAGCUAGUUGGUAAGGUAACGGCUUACCAAGGCAAUGAUGCAUAGCCGAGUUGAGAGACUGAUCGGCCACAUUGGGACUGAGACACGGCCCAAACUCCUACGGGAGGCAGCAG